ensembl:lncRNA
GUUCAGAACACCACACUCCGGACCCGCUGGAAGAGAGCGUUCUGGGGACAGCAGCAGGCGAAGCCCACGCAGCCUGCGCACGGAGGUGAUUCUCCAGGGGACAGCUACAUGAGACAUUGUGAUCACUGGCUCUUGUCCUGCUGAGGCACUUCAACCACACUGAUAUCUGCUGGAAAAGUAGCACAGUGAGCUGGUGAUCCAGGAGACUCCUGGAAUAUAUCAAGGAUAAUUUCCUGAGCCAGGCUUUGACUGGAUGGUUCAGAAUGUGGAAACUGGAAGAGAGAUGCCACUCCUGCUAUAAGUGAAGAUCAGAUUCAUGACCUCCUGAGGAACAUGAACACCCAUAAGUCUAUGAGCCCUGAGGAGAUGCAUCCCGGAGUCCUGAAGGAAUUGGCAGACAUAGUUGCCAAGCCACUCUUGAUGAUCUUUGAAAAGUCAUGGUGGUCAGAUGAAGUCUCUGGUGACGAUGACAAAAGGCAAUAUCACACCCAUAUUUAAGAAGGGUAGAAAGGAUGACCUAGGGAACUAUGAACCUAUUAGCUUCACAUCUGUGCUGAGGAAGAUAAUGGAACAGAUCCUUCUGGUAGCUACGCUAAGGCAUCUGGAAGAGCAGGAGGUGAUAUGGGGCAACCAGCAUGGCUUCACCAAGGGGAGGUUCUGCCUGACCAACUUCAUUGCUUUUUAUGACGGUGUAAGUGUGUCUGUGGACAAGGGAAGAGCCACUGAUGUCAUUUAUUUGGACUUCAGUAAGACCUUUGCCACAGCUUCCCGUAACAUCCUUUUCUCCAAAUUGGAAAGACAUGGAUUUGAUGGGUGAACUCUUUGAUGGACAAGAAUCUGGUUUUGAGAUUAAGAGAUGAGGCUCCUAGGACCAGCUACAUGCACUCUGUCU